AGUGGCGGACGGGUGAGUAACGCGUAAGAAUCUAACUUCUGGACGGGGACAACAGUGGGAAACGACUGCUAAUACCCGAUGUGCCGCGAGGUGAAACCUAAUUGGCCUGAAGAAGAGCUUGCGUCUGAUUAGCUAGUUGGUGGGGUAAGAGCCUACCAAGGCGACGAUCAGUAGCUGGUCUGAGAGGAUGAUCAGCCACACUGGGACUGAGACACGGCCCAGACUCCUACGGGAGGCAGCAGUGGGGAAUUUUCCGCAAUGGGCGAAAGCCUGACGGAGCAACACCGCGUGAGGGAGGAAGGUCUUUGGAUUGUAAACCUCUUUUCUUAGGGAAGAAGUUCUGACGGUACUUGAGGAAUCACCCUCGGCUAACUCCGUGCCACCACCCCCGGUAAUACGGGGGAGGCAAGCUUUAUCCGGAAUUAUUGGGCGUAAAGCGUCCGCAGGUGGUCUACCAAUUCGGCCGUCAAAUCAGGGUGCUUAACGACCUAAAGGCAGUGGAAACUGGCGAACUAAAUAGCAUUAGGGGUAACAGGAAUUCCCGUUGUACCGGUGAAAUGCGUAAAGAUUGGGAAGAACAUCGGUGGCGAAGGCGUGCUACUGGGCUGUAUCUGACACUCAGGGACGAAAGCUAGGGGAGCGAAAGGGAUUAGAUACCCCUGUAGUCCUAGCCGUAAACGAUGGAUACUAGGCGUGGCUU
rnacentral:rRNA from 1 species